rnacentral:misc_RNA from 1 species
UGAACUUUAGCUGCAAAUUUUCCGUUAAGACUGCCAGCUAUGACAAGGUAUUGCUGAUUAAUUUCAAGGACUACAAUGCUUUCUUCCAAGUUGCACCAGUGUCAACAAGUUUAGUAUAGGCAUUCUUGAAAUCAUCAAAAAAUAAACUCUGGUCCUCAGCAUACUUUGAUAUCCAUCCUACACAUUCAUCAUCUUCAACAAGUGCCCUAUCAGAGGGAAGUCCAACCAUACUAGUCAUGCUGCCUGAGGACAACCAUGGCUUUUCCAUGAGAAUCUUGAAAUAUUCAUUAUCGAAGACAGUUGGAUUCCCAAACCCUUUACUUCCCAGAGUAUGCGCGCCAGACAAGGCAACAAGUUCCUGAGUUCUGCCAACAAAAUGAACAAUCCAUGGAGAUUAGGCAGACAGAUCUAGCUUUUUCUUUCCAAUUAUAGGUGAGCAAGAGGUUGUACUGCAUAAGUUUAGAGUUAAAGCCUGGACUGCUCAGACCUCUGACAACUGACCAUGAUUAUCAAAAGCCAAAUGUUUGAAUAGUUGCUCUCUCCAAAUACCAAGCUGAGAAGUGUUUUUUAGGUUUUUA